UCUAGCCGAGUGUCUCCGGAGCGAGCCGAGCUCGGCCGAGCGCAGCAUCCCGGGCAGGGCGAGGCGCCGGGCCGGGCUCGGGCUGCAGCCGGGGCUCUGUGAGGCUUCCCCGCCUGUCCCUCUCUCUACCCCUCCUUCCUUCUCCCCGUAUUCGCCUUCUCUCGCUCCCUUUCUCCCAUUCCCUCUCUGCCCACAAAGCCGGCUCCUUCCUGUCCUGUCCCUACCCCGCUACUCCCUUCUGUUCCCCCUCUCUCCCUCCUCUGUCCACCCUCCCUCUUCCCCCCUCCCGGGCUUUCCCUUCCCGUCCCGCUUUCCUCCGCAGCCCGAGCUCCCUGCCUGCCCUUUCUCAUGCCCUGCUCUCGCUGCUCUCUUCGCGUGCCCCCUUUCCUUCUUUGCCCCGCAGCGGCGGGGCUCGGGGUGCCGGAGAAUAAAGCCCCGAGCGAGGCCCGGAGCCCGGCGCCGCUCGGCCCUGGCAGGAGUCCCCGCACGGGGCCGGAGGCUCUCGGCGGAUCGCCCCGUGCCGGUCAAACAGCCCGCCCGACACGGCCGGAGCUGCGGCUUUCCCGGCACGGCGCUGAGAGCGGCCCCCGCUCUGUGCCGUGCCGGCCCCGCCGUCUCUGCCGCUGCCUCUCGCUGCCCCCGGCCCGGGACAGCGAGGCUGGGGAGGAACCUCAACCCUUCUGGGGGCUGCCCCCCCUUUCUUGUGGCAGCAGAAUCCCUUUCUGGGGCCAUGUGCGCGUGGAAAGGGCUUGGAGGAAGCGCUGCGCUGCUGUCCAGGGCAGUGGGACUCGUUCUGUGCCUUCUUUGGGGCUGAGGGAAAGGGGGUGAAGACUCGGGGCUGGGAUGCCAUUGGGGCCACCCCAAGGUCCCCAGGAGAGGGAGCCCCACUGCGGGGCAGGAGCAGGAACGCAGGAAACUCCGACUAGAGAUGGGUAGCAGUUUUGAAGAUAUUGCCGUAACGUUUUUAUCUAGGAAUGGACCAAGCUGUGCCCUGAAACCAUCAGAAGCGCUGCAGGGGCUGAAGGCAAUAGAAAGGGCUGUCUGGCACCUUUUGCCUCCGUUCUCUGCCAGUCCCCAAAUCGUGUCGCAGCCCCGGAAGAGGCGCUUGUCAUCCCGAGGGCCAAAACAAAGACCUGUAAAAUCCCA